CGAGGGGGCAGCGAGUAUACGCAAAUCUGCAAAUAUUUUUUGUAAUGCAAUCAGCGUUAGGAAAAGUAAACGCGUGUGAUCGUUUCUUGGCCAGCUCUCCGUCCAACUUGCCACUUUUUCUGGACAAUUGUGCACAGGAGAAGAGAGGAGCCAAACAAACCUACAUCAGCCUUACAACUGAACACAGAGAGCAUGUUGCAACCGAGGGUUCAACGUCUGAAUCGAACUCGUUAACGAGUUGCGUCUUUCAGGACAACAGUUAGGUUUGCAAAUAACAGAACUGAGAGGACAUAGGGUGACGUAGGACGGCUGCAAAGGUUGUUGUCAAUUUUGGCAAACAGCACGGAAUCCUGAUCCUAUUCACCGAUCGAUGCGACGAUAAAUUUUUAUCAAGCGUCACUCACCUGUCCGGCCAAGGGCAAGAAAGAAUUCGGCAUACGGCCAGGGCUGCGGCAGCCAGUAUGCUGGCCGCCAGGGCUGCGUAAACGAUGCAAAGGUGAACCAGCGAGAAGAUGUAAAGAGACUUGUCACACCAGCGGUUCGGCUCAAACAAGUUGCCGCAGAGCAUCUUUGCAGAUAAUUUCGUCCACCGGGGGAGUCGUCCGGUCAAGGAAUUGUUAUCAAUCGAUCUGUCUCACACGCGUGUCCGUGGACUGUAAAGGAGCCA